rnacentral:lncRNA from 1 species
UGGAACCACAAGUGUUUGUUCCUUAUGGAAAAGGUAGCAUGGAGACUUCUUUAACACUGAGAACCUUAGAACUGAAUAGACACAAAAUCACAAGGAACUUUAAAUUGUAAUGUGAUUUCCUGACAUAGAAUCAGAAACCUUCACACACUUCUGUGAAGCCAGACAUCUUUGAAGGAUACAGAGGACACACAGCUAUCAAUAUAUACAGCAUCUUUAGGUAUCUGGAUCCAACCAUCAGGAGCUCUAAGCACUGACCCGCAAUGGCUGCCUGCCUCAGUUUGCACACCAGAUGGAUGCCAGUGCUGGUCUCUGUCAGGAAAGUACACAGAUUUCCUAAUGGUGCUUUCAACAUUAGUUCCUAUUAGAGUAUGUAACUGAAGAGCUUCUAAUUUCAACACUAACUUCCAAACGGCAACAGAAGAAAAGUAAAACAACAUUAGUGGCAGAAGAAUAAUUUGGAUCAUGUGCGUUGGAAUAGAGGUACUGAACAGAACCACUCGAGUGGGAAGGGCCCAGGUCACCAUCAAGGAGACUAAAGCUGGGGUAGGAAGAGCAUGAGACGGUCUCAGAGAUGCCUGAAGCCUUGGAGGAGCUGAAUGGUAGAGUUUCUUUGUAUCUUCCAGAGGAGAAGAAAACAUCAUCCAGAAUCCUUGUGACAAGGACUCGCUUGCGAUUGAGCAAGUGUCAUGUUGCCUGUCAUCUGAAAGGCAGCAGAGAAGCAUUAUCAUGGUGUCCCCACGCUAAAAACAAA